CAUGCAAGUCGGACGGCAGCACAGAGAAGCUUGCUUCUUGGGUGGCGAGUGGCGAACGGGUGAGUAAUAUAUCGGAACGUACCGAGUAAUGGGGGAUAACUAAUCGAAAGAUUAGCUAAUACCGCAUAUUCUCUGAGGAGGAAAGCAGGGGACCUUCGGGCCUUGCGUUAUUCGAGCGGCCGAUAUCUGAUUAGCUAGUUGGUGGGGUAAAGGCCUACCAAGGCGACGAUCAGUAGCGGGUCUGAGAGGAUGAUCCGCCACACUGGGACUGAGACACGGCCCAGACUCCUACGGGAGGCAGCAGUGGGGAAUUUUGGACAAUGGGCGCAAGCCUGAUCCAGCCAUGCCGCGUGUCUGAAGAAGGCCUUCGGGUUGUAAAGGACUUUUGUCAGGGAAGAAAAGGCUGUUGCUAAUAUCAAUAGCUGAUGACGGUACCUGAAGAAUAAGCACCGGCUAACUACGUGCCAGCAGCCGCGGUAAUACGUAGGGUGCGAGCGUUAAUCGGAAUUACCGGGCGUAAAGCGAGCGCAGACGGUUACUUAAGCAGGAUGUGAAAUCCCCGGGCUCAACCUGGGAACUGCGUUCUGAACUGGGUGACUAGAGUGUGUCAGAGGGAGGUAGAAUUCCACGUGUAGCAGUGAAAUGCGUAGAGAUGUGGAGGAAUACCGAUGGCGAAGGCAGCCUCCUGGGAUAACACUGACGUUCAUGCUCGAAAGCGUGGGUAGCAAACAGGAUUA
rnacentral:rRNA from 1 species